CGGGGGGGGCAAGCGUUGUUCGGAAUUACUGGGCGUAAAGGGUUCGUAGGUGGCUUGCUAAGUCAGACGUGAAAUCCCUCAGCUUAACUGGGGAACUGCGUCUGAUACUGGCGAGCUUGAGUGUAGGAGAGGAACGCAGAAUUCCAGGUGUAGCGGUGAAAUGCGUAGAUAUCUGGAGGAAUACCGGUGGCGAAGGCGGCGUUCUGGACUGCAACUGACACUGAUGAACGAAAGCCAGGGGAGCAAACGGGAUUAGAUACCCCGGUAGUCCUGGCCCUAAACGAUGAAUGCUUGGUGUGGCGGGUAUCGAUCCCUGCCGUGCCGAAGUUAACGCGUUAAGCAUUCCGCCUGGGGAGUACGGUCGCAAGGCUG
rnacentral:rRNA from 1 species